rnacentral:rRNA from 1 species
GUCGCAAGGCUGAAACUUAAAGACAUUGACGNAGGGCACCACCAGGCGUGGAGCCUGCGGCUUAAUUUGACUCAACACGGGGAAACUCACCAGGUCCAGACAUAAUAAGGAUUGGCAGAUUGAGAGCUCUUUCUUGAUUUUAUGGGUGGUGGUGCAUGGCCGUUCUUAGUUGGUGGAGUGAUUUGUCUGCUUAAUU